CGCCCGGCCCGCCGCAGCUUCUCUUCCCAAACGAGCCAGAUUAUGGGAAAAAGCCACUUCAAAGGGGGCCGUUAAUUAGGGCAGCGCGCUCCGGGCCCUGGCGGCGACCCCGGUUUCUUCCCGGGACGGAGGGCGCCGGGCAUAUGGCGGACGGGGCGGCGGCGGCCGGCGCGGUGCGUGUGGAGCUAUGUGCAGCCGGGUGUGCGUACUAUUGUAAUGAGGCCCGCAGCCCCGCGGAGGACCGACGGGGCAUUCCUUUGUCUCCCGAUGAGAUUACCGCAGCCAGCUGCUCUCCAAGCCUUCCCUGGGCAAAUCUGAAAGUGGCCGCUAUAUGUGUUUUACUGAUGGCACACGAGGAGAAAACUAGCGCUCCCUCCCCCUCCUCCUCCUCUGCGCUAGUUGUUUGUUUGGGUUUAUUCCCUGGCUUGUUUCCGACGUGAUUUUGCUUGUGAGGAACUGCCGUGGAUAAAAUUGGCCACUCGUG